ensembl:lncRNA
GGUAGAAGAGCGCUGUGGACUGCAGCAGACUGGGCUGGGAGUGGAUCCCAGAAUGCAGCAAUCCAGGCUGGGGCUGCAGCCCUGGGCGUCCCAGGCCUGGCUGAGGCUGAGCCUGGAAUCCAGGGCUGAUGAAACCUGGCCAGGAUGAGAGUCCUGGGGGCACCAAAGCCGGGCUGGGAUGGCCAGGAUGGAGCAGCCCAGUGUGGCCCUGGAGCCCAUUUUGGGAGUUGGAGUGAUGACUGGGACGAGAUAUUCCUGGCUGGUUUGGGGGCUGAGCUCCUGGCCGCAGGAAUCCUGCUGGAGUCUGAGCACUGGUGGAGGUCAAGCCAGGCUGGUUGUGGGACACAAGCCCAGGGCGAAGCCCUGGUUGGUUUUGUCCCCUGGGGGGGUUUUGGGAUACAAACCCUGGAUGAAGUUGCCCAGGUUGGUUUUGGCCCCUGGGAGGGUUUUGGGAUACAAACCCUGGACGAAGUUGCUCAGGUUGGUUUUGAGCCCCAGGAUGGUUGUGGGAUGCAAACCCUGGGUGAAUCCCUGGUUGGCUUUGACCCCCAAGCUGGUUUUGGGAUACAAACCCUGGGCGAAUCCCUGGUUGGUUUUGACCUCCAGGAUGGUUGUGGGAUGCAAACUCUGAGCGAAUCCCUGGUUGGUUUUGACCCCCAGGCUGGUUUUGGGAUGCAAACCCUGGGCGAAUCCCUGGUUGGUUUUGACUCCCAGGAUGGUUGUGGGAUGCAAACCCUGGGCGAAUCCCUGGUUGGUUUUGACCCCCAGGAUGCACCAUGCCAGGCUGGUUUUGGGAUACAAAGCCUGGAUGCAGGCGCCCUGGCUGGGUCUGACCCCCGGAAUGCAUCAAACUGGGAUGGUUUUGGGAUACAAGCACUGGGCGAAGGAUCCCUGGCUGGCUCUGGCCCCCAGGCUGGGGGGACUGCACUCCCGGGCGGAUGAAGGUUCCCUGGAUUUGGGUGACAGGAUGAACCCUACCAGGCUGGGACAGAAGCCCUGGGUGAGCUGGAUUGGAAUGGUGCUGGAUUCCAGGAAGCACUGAGCUGGGCUGGUACUGUCCCACUGUGUGAACCUGCUCCAAGUGAUCUCGGGAUGUGAGCUGGGAUUCUGCGAGGGUGAGAGAGGACUCGGAGACCUGGUGCAGGCCAGUGUGGGAGAUGAGGACUCCGCUGUCCCGGGCUUGCUCCCGUGUUCCAUCUGGGAGUAUCUCAGAGGCACCUGGCUUGGGGCAGGUCAUGUUGACCUCAUAGGAGGUGACGGGGAUCCCGCUGGACAGUAGCUCCUCCAGCUGCACCCGCAGGAUGUAGAGGUCCUCCUGCAGGGGGACACAAGGGACAGUCACCCCCAUCCUGCUGGAGGGGACCGCGGAGAGGACAGGAGUGUCACCUUGAACAGGACGUGGCAGCCCUUGUAGCCCGAGGAGAAGAUGACAGAGCCAUCCUCCCUGGAAUUCAGCCAGUGGAGGCAGAUGGAGCAGUUGGCCACGUCAAAACGGGAGCCAAACUCGUCUGGGGGGACACCAUGGACACAGGGAAGUGACACAUCCAGGUGCAUGGAAACCCCCCCGGGCAGCAGCAACAGCUCAUCC